GCAAGCUGGACAGCCGCGUGGCCAGGCCGAAAGGCCGUCCAUGAGGAAAGUCCGGGCUCCAUAGGGCAAGGAUAACGGGUAACGCCCGCCGAAGGCGACUUUAGGACAAGUGCAACAGAGAUAUACCGCCCGGCUUCUGUCGGGUAAGGGUGGAAAGGUGAGGUAAGAGCUCACCGGCUGACCGGGAACGGCUCAGUCCUGUAAACUCUAUCCGGAGCAACACCGUGGAGGGGAAUAUGACCGGCCCGGUCUCCCCGGGGAGGUGGCUAGCAGGUUUUUUAAUGGAAAACUGUCUGCACUGGCAACAGGGCGCCUAGAUAGAUGGCUGUCUAUAACAGAACCCGGCUUACAGGCUUACUUG
rnacentral:RNase_P_RNA from 1 species